UACGAAGGGGACUAGCGUUGUUCGGAAUCACUGGGCGUAAAGCGCACGUAGGCGGAUUUGUAAGUCAGGGGUGAAACUCCCGGGGCUCAACCUCGGAACUGCCUUUGAUACUGCAAGUCUUGAGUCCGAUAGAGGUGGGUGGAAUUCCUAGUGUAGAGGUGAAAUUCGAUAGAUAUUAGGAAGAACACCGGUGGCGAAGGCGGCCCACUGGAUCGGUACUGACGCUGAGGUGCGAAAGCGUGGGGAGCAAACAGG
rnacentral:rRNA from 1 species